AUUUAAUACAAGAGGUAAAAGAGAACCAUUGGAACUCAUCGAGCAGGAUAAGAACACCAAGGAUCAGAAGUGGCAUGUUCUGUGACUCGGGAGUAAGUACUCAUUCCACUGUCCCAUACUGCCUCUCAAUAGUAAGCACUUGAUAAAUACUCAUUCAUUAAUUGAUAAGGCAGAUAAAAAUAAGAGCCUGUGCAGAUAGAAUUUUAUCCCAAAUGAUGAAUGGCUAUGUUUGUGGUUGUUCUGUCGUUUUUCAAUCAUGUAUGACUUUGUGACCCCAUUUGGGAUGUUAAAUUUAUUUUUGGUUGGACUUUGAAUAUAUUAUUAAUUAGGUGGUCACCAGGG
rnacentral:lncRNA from 1 species